AACAGCCAAUCGGAGCGUGACGAGGGAGAGAGCGCCACUCAACACCAGGAAGUACGGCACUGAGCAGAGGAUAAUGGGUCAAUAGUGUUUGUCUAGUCCUACUUUAUUUAGACUGGCUAACACCGUUAACCUUUGACACACCCACUCCCUGUAGAAGAGAUGAUGAAUUGCAGGUGCACUGUCUCUAGGGGAGAUGAGGCUGAAGGAACUGCCUGGCUUGAUCGCUAACCGAGCUCCUGUCAACCCCAUACAUGGAAUACUGGCCCUGCACAGAGGAUAGCAGUGGUACUACGGAAGGUACUGUAUAUAGACGUGAGGAAAGGUGGAUUGGGAGGAGUGGCCAUACCGCUCGCUGGAUACUGUAUCCUCAGCUACACCUGCAGCUUCCCACACAUCAGUAAGUGUGUGCAUGUGCUUGUCAACUCAGAAAAUCUUUCUUUAAUGACUGCGUUUUCCCUCUAUAGAGCAUGAUCGCUGGAGGAAGUACCACUGAGCCCUGGCGGUAAGGGUCAGACUAAGGGGAAACAUCUGUCACUCAGGGACGGAGCCCCUAGUGGUGGAGACCAGAUGUGCAGAGCUGUAGUCUGGUGUUACCCGGAAAUAAAGGCUAGAAGAUCUGAAGCUAUGGCGAGUUCUCUACAUAGAAUCAUCUGUGAGAGGUGGGAGAAUGUGAACAGAGGCAACACUAAGGUGCUGAGAAAAAGUCUAAUUUCAGUUUCAUGUCUUCUAGUCUAUACCAGGCCUAUAUAUACAAAGGUAUGUAGACACCCAUUCAAAUUUGUGGAUUUGGCUAUUUCAGCCACACCCAUUGCUGACAGGUCUAUAAAACUGAGCACACCGCCAUGCAAUCUCCAUAGACAAACAUUGGUAGUAGAAUGGCCUUGCUGAAGAGCUCAGUGACUGUCAACCUGGCACCAUCAUAGGAUGCUCCCAGUUUGUCAGUUUGUCAAAUUUAUGCCCUGUAAGUGCUGUUAUUGUGAAGUGGAAACGUCUAGGAGCAACAAUGGCUCUGUCGCGAAGUGGUAGGCCACAAAAGCUCACAGAACGGGACCUCCGAGUGCUGAAGUGCAGAGCGCGUAAUAAACGUCUGCCGGGACGGGCUGGGAUUUAAAAAAAUAUGUAUAUAGGACAAAACACACAUCACGACAAGAGAGACAACACAACACUACAUAAAGAGGGACCUAAGACAGCAUAGCAAGGCAGCAACACAUGACAACACAGCAUGGAAGCAACACAACAUGGCAGCAGCACAAAACAUGGUACAAACAUAAUUGGGUACAGACAACAGCACAAAGAACAAUAAAGUAGAGACAACAAUACAUCACGCAAAGCAGCCACAACUGUCAGUAAGUGUCCAUGAUUGAGUCUUUGAAUGAAGAGAUUGUGAUAUAACUGUCCAGUUUGAGUGUUUGCUGCAGCUCGUUCCAGUCGCUCGCUGCAGCGAACUGAAAAGACAAGCGACCCAGGGAUGUGUGUGCUUCGGGGACCUUUAACAGAAUGUGACUGGCAGAAUGGGUGUUGUAUGUGGAGGAUGAGGGCUCCAGUAGAUAUCUCAGAUAGUGUGGAGUGAGGCCUAAGAGGGUUUUAUAAAUAAGCAUCAACCAGUGGGUGGGUCUUGCAACAGGUAUACAGAGAUGACCAGUUUACAGAGGAGUACAGAGUGCAGUGAUGUGUCCUAUAAGGAGCAUUGGUGGAGCACCCUUACCUGCCGAUCUAUAAAUUACAUCUCCGUAAUCUAGCAUGGGUAGGAUGGUCAUCUGAAUCAGGGUUAGUUUGGCAGCUAGGGUGAAAGAGGAGCGAUUACGAUAGAGGAAACCAGGCCUAGACUUAACCUUAGCCUGCAGCUUUGAUAUGUACUGAGAGGACAGUGUACUGUCUAGCCAUACUCCCAGGUACCGUCUACCUCAAUGUGCUACCAUAGUGCACACUGUAAAGUUUGGUGGAGGGGAAAUAAUGGUCUGGGCUGUUUUUCAUGGUUUGGCUAGGCCCUUUAGUUCCAGUGAAGGAAAAUCUUAAUGCUACAGCAUACAAUUACAUUCUAGACAAUUCUGUGCUUACAACUUUGUGGCAACAGUUUGGGGAAGGCCCUUUCCUGGUUCAGCAUGACAAUGCCCGUGUACAAAGCGAGGUCCAUACAGAAAGGGUUUUUCGAGAUUGGUGUGGAAGAACUUGACUGGCCUGCACAGAGCCCUGACCUCAACCCCAACGAACACCUUUGGGAUGAAUUGGAACGACGACUGCGAGCCAGGCCUAAUCGCUCAACAUCAAUUCUCAACAUCAGUGCCCAACCUCACUAAUGCUGUUGUGGCUGAAUGGAAGCUACUUCCCGUAGCAGUGUUCCAACAUCUAGUGGAAUGCCUUCCCAGAAGACUGGAGACUGUUAUAGCAAAGGGGGGGACUAACUUCAUAAUAACGCCACUGAUUUUGGGAUGAGAUAUUCGACUAGCAAGUGUCCACAUUCUUUUGGUCACGUAGUGUAUCAGUAUAUAUCUGAAAUAUUUACAGUGGGGCAAAAAAGUAUUUUGUCAGCCACCAAUUGUGCAAGUUCUCCCACUUAAAAAGAUGAGGCCUGUAAUUUUCAUCAUAGGUACACUUCAACUAUGACAGACAAAAUGAGAAGAAAAAAAAUCCAGAAAAUCACAUUGUAGGAUUUUUAAUGAAUUUAUUUGCAAAUUAUGGUGGAAAAUAAAUAUUUGGUCAAUAACAAAAGUUUAUCUCAAUACUUUGUUAUAUACCCUUUGUUAGCAAUGACAGAGGUCAAACGUUUUCUGUAAGUCUUCACAAGGUUUUCACACACUGUUGCUGGUAUUUUGGCCCAUUCCUCCAUGCAGAUCUCAUCUAGAGCAGUGAUGUUUUUGGGGCUGUUGCUGGGCAACACAGACUUUCAACUCCCUCCAAAGAUUUUCUAUGGGGAUGAGAUCUGGAGACUUGCUAGGCCACUCCAGGACCUUGAAAUGCUUCUUACGAAGCCACUCCUUCGUUGCCCGGGCGGUGUGUUUGGGAUCAUUGUCAUGCUGAAAGAUGCCCUCGUUGCCCUUGCUGAUGGUUGGCUUUGUUACUUUGGUCCCAGCUCUCUGCAGGUCAUUCACUAGGUCCCCCCGUGUGGUUCUGGGAUUUUUGCUCAACGUUCUUGUGAUCAUUUUGACCCCACAGGGUGAGAUCUUGCGUAGAUCCCCAAAUCGAAGGAGAUUAUCAGUGGUCUUGUAUGUCUUCCAUUUCCUAAUAAUUGCUCCCACAGUUGAUUUCUUCAAACCAAGCUGCUUACCUAUUGCAGAUUCAGUCUUCCCAGCCUGGUGCAGGUCUACAAUUUUGUUUCUGGUGUCCUUUGACAGCUCUUUGGUCUUGGCCAUAGUGGAGUUUGGAGUGUGACUGUUUGAGGUUGUGGACAGGUGUCUUUUAUACUGAUAACAAGUUCAAACAGGUGCCAUUAAUACAGGUAACGAGUGGAGGACAGAGGAGCCUCUUAAAGAAGAAGUUACAGGUCUGUUAGAGCCAGAAAUCUUGCUUGUUUGUAGGUGACCAAAUACUUAUUUUCCACCAUAAUUUGCAAAUAAAUUCAUUAAAAAUCCUACAAUGUGAUUUUCUGGAUUUUCUUUCUCAUUUUGUGUCAUAGUUGAAGUGUACAAUGAUGAAGGCCUCAUCUUUUUAAGUGGGAGAACUUGCACAAUUGGUGGCUGACUGAAUACUUUUUUGCCCCACCGUAUGUGUGGCAUUUUUUAUGAUUUUUUCUGUUGUGAUGAAAGGGAAGGAUACUUCAACAGCACUUGUAUUACUAAGACUAGUUAAUAUUACUUGUAGUGUGAACAGCAACGAAGUGAAACCAGAACCUGUGAAGGGCUCCCAAGACUGUCCACCUGUUGUCUGUCACUCUUGGACUGUUUUUGUAUAUGGCUCAUGAUUUUGCUCUACCAGCAACAUGCUAUGUUGUAAGUCUGUGGAGCCUUGAAUGUGAAAUAAUGACCAGCAGUAUGAGUUUCAUACUGGACCCCACAACAAACUGAAUAUCUAACUACUACCAAUAAUACAUGUGUUGGCGAAUGUAUUAAAUCAAUCAGGCUGAGCCAGUUUAUGAUUGUAUUCAAAAUGAAUUUAUUAUUGACCUAUUUUUGCUGUUGUAGUAAACACACAAACUAGAAAUGAACAACUGACAGUAUUUUGUAACAAUUUCUCUUGGAACACUUCAAAGCCAACAGAAUAAAAAAUUACUUCAUUUUCUCAUGUUUUUUAUCUGGGGUUUUCCUUACAAAAAAUUAUAAAUAUUUUGUGUUUCACGUUUUCAUUUUUUAUACCAAAAAAGCCCCUAUACAAAUCAUGUAGAUAGUGAGACAGACCAAAAUAAAGUCAACAGUGAAGACGGGUCAAGAAAGUAGAAAUGUAUUGCUCUCCUUGGCAGAAAGGGCAUAGCCUAGUACCUCAACCCCUCAAGACACUCCUGUGUGGAAUUACUUCCCAUAUAGUCCACGACUUUUGAGUCACAUAGGGUGAGUUACAUAGGCUCUGGGUAAAAAUAUAUGGGGAAUAGUGUGUCAUUUGAGUGUCGACCAGCAGACACAGUGGUCCUCAGGACCAGGGCUGAGAAGGCCACACCCAGUGGUUGUGUUCCUCUGCUCAGACACUGCUGGCACAUGAAGACCUUGCAACACCAGGAUAGGAUAGACGUGCCACAUAUGUUCUAGCAAUCUGGUGCCCGACGCCACGGCACAGUCAAGGACGUGGCACGCAACCAUUGGUUGAUGUAUGCAACGUUUGAGCAGGAGAACACGACCAUUCAAGCCCUUACUCACUCAGACAGAAGACACUUUCUAUCUAAGGCCUUCAGUCUGUUCCUUCAGUCAGUUUAAAAGCAGAGUUUAGCAUACACUUGUCUCUCAUCUCUUAACUGUGGGGAGGGAGAGAAGGAUAGAGUGGAGGAGGGGAAACUAAGUGUGCUAGGGAACGAGUAACAUUCAUCUGGGGUGAGUGAACACACAACAAACAUACGAACACACCAGCACACGUUCAGAGAGUGGACAUACAUAUACAAUCCAUGACCUUCCAGGGUCAUUGUAUCACAUGACAGUAAGACAUUGCCAUGGUUGCGUGUUGACAUCGCUGGGACACACAUCACUAACAACACAAAUAAUGGUGAUGUUUCAUUUAAAAAAAUUAACUAAAUCUAAUCUAAAUAAAAAAAGAUAAACAUGUCGUAACAUUUUUCCCUCAAUCUGAGGAGUUAGCUCCCCCCAACACCAAUACACGUGUGUGUGUGUGUGUCUUGGUUCUACUAUACUUGUGGGGACAAGGAUAGUAAAACAAGAAAAAUUCUCCCCUCGUGGGGACAUUUCCCACAUCCCCAUGAGGACAAAUGCUAUUUUAAGCUUAGAGGUUAGGUUUAGGGUUAUGCUUACAAUUAGGGUUUGGGUAAGGGACUAGGUUCAGUGUUUGGGUAAGGGAUUAGGUUCAGGGUUUGGGUAAGGGAUUAGGUUCAGUGUUUGGGUAAGGGAUUAGGUUCAGGGUUUGGGUAAGGGAUUAGGUUCAGGGUUUGGGUAAGGGAUUAGGUUCAGGGUUUGGGUAAGGGAUUAGGUUCAGGGUUUGGGUAAGGGAUUAGGUUCAGGGUUUGGGUAAGGGAUUAGGUUCAGGGUUUGGGUAAGGGAUUAGGUUCAGGGUUUGGGUAAGGGAUUCGGUUCAGGGUUUGGGUUCCAGGUUAAGGUCAGGAAAAAUAGGAUUUUGAAUGGAAAUUAAUUUUAGGUCCCCAUGAAGAUAGAACAAAAUGUGUGUGUUUGAUGUGUGGGUUGGUUUUUCUAUCCU